CUUUUGGUUUCUACUGGAGGAUGGGAUAAAACGGAGCCUUGUGUGGGGGAUGUACCACAGGUGGGGGCAUGUGUGUGGUAUUCGACAGACCGGAGCGAGUUUCUUGGUGACCACAGCAGCAGUGUGGUGUCAGAGUUCCCACACCAAGACCUCUAAGUUCUUAUGCUGACUUCUACUUUAACUCACUACAUGUAUAAAGUAGUGCCUGCCACGUGCCCCUCCUGGUGAUGGGUGCUGGAGGGUCAGGAGUGAUGUCGCCAUCUUGAGGUUGGGUCUGAUGAGGGAGCAGCUGCCCCAUCUGCCGUGCUCUGUGGUCCUGUCGCUUACCCUCUCGGGAGUGUGCGGUUUAUGUCUCUGGGUGCCUCAUACACCUUGCAUGUAUUUGAUUCAACAAGAGCUGAUGAAGAGCCUACUGUGUAACAGACACUGUUGCAGAGGACAUGGAGUUGAGUCAGAAACGUUCUCACCACAUACGAGUAAUUCUAAUGAAAGACAGAAGUGCAAAGGGGCUUGAGUGGUGGCACAAGCUCUUUGUUGAAGGAGAGCUUCAUUCCCACGGGGGGUAGGGUGGGGUGAAGAAGCUGGUUCAUAGGAAAGGUGAGAUUUCAGCAGGUCCUUAAAGGGCCUGACACAAGUAUCGGCUAGAUACUUCCUAAAAAAUUCAUCCCCCCUGCAACAAAAAUCACCAUUAAAAGCAAAGCUGGUUGAAUUCAUCCCUGGGUGGCAAACAUGCUUUGGUCUUCUUCUUUGUGGCCGAAUGUCUUUGUUUUGCAGAUGACGUGAUGGGUGCUCUGUAAAUGCCAUGGUGGGAAUUACAGAGCAAAGUCAUACUGCAUUUUUGGAAUGCAGUUGAGGGGGUCAGACCCUAAAGAGAGCGAGUGUACCUUCCUCCAAGACCUUGGCCAGGUCUCUUUCCUUCUCUCACCACGAUACUGGAGAGACCCAGCUGCUGUGCCUGACAGGCUCGUGAGCUGUUUGCUGCUUGGGAAGUCUCUGGAAUCGACUUUCAAAUAGCAAGAAUAAAGCCACUUUCUGGAAGCAUGCUGGGGACGAUAAUGACUAUCAUAUGAGAUUUAGGAUGGGGAGAGUGUCAUGGGGAGCAGCCAUCACUUCUCUGUAUGGGAGGACCAGCUUGAGCACUAAUACUGGAAUAAAAGGAAAAGGUGAUUAACAGAGGCAAUUGUCUGCUGUGUCUAAGAGAGCUUCCUAGGACAUUUUAAGAAGGUUAAUAAUCUUCAUAGAUAACUGGAAUAUUGGGGUUGUUGUGGGCAGGGGAAAUGGCUAAUAUUUAAUCUGUAAUUAUUGAUGGCAUCCUAAUGCUUUGAGAAAAAGAAAGCUGAUUGGCCGAAAGGCUUAGCAUGGAAAGCUCAUUGGGGAAUAUUAGAGGAUGGGUUGGCCAGCAUUUGAGUUAUCGCCAUGCAGUUAUCAAGUAGUCAGUGUUUCCUGUUUUAGCAGAAAUAAUGUCUGAGGAGCAGGCAGGGGCUUGUGGGAACAAUGAUUAUACUUUGGAGGGAGUCUCCAAAGGGUGCAGACAGUACUUUCAAGAGUAGCCUAUGCCUGCAUCCUCACCCACCUGCAGGACUAAUUUUGUCUUUGUUUAGGCUGUUGGUGAAGUCUUUGAGCUGAAGUCUCCCUUGCAUAAAGCAUGAUAGAAUUUUUUUUUCCUUUUUUUUAUUGAGGUAUAAUUGAUUUAUAAUAUUUUGUUAAUUUCUUCUGUACAACAAAGUGAUUCAGUUAUACACAUAUACAUACAUAUGUAUGUGAUAUAUAUACAUAUACACAUAUUCUUUUAAAUACUCUUUUCUAUUAUGAUUUAUCACAAGAUUUGAAUAUAGUUCCCUGUGCUAUGUAGUAGGACCUUGUUGUUUAUCCAUUCUAUAUAUAAUACUUUGCACCUGCUAACCCCAAACUCUCACAACAUCCCCUGCUCCCCCUUGGU
rnacentral:lncRNA from 9 species